rnacentral:lncRNA from 1 species
CGCAUUCCGUCCGUCCCAUUCACUGCCCGCUCGCGAUGUGCGGAGAGCCGACGGAAGUGUCGAGUGUGUGCCGUGCGGUGUCAUCUGCCGUCUCCUCUUCCGACCUGAAGGAACGCAGGAUGCGAGGAUCGUCGGGCGACACCACCACUCGAGAUUCGUAGAUCGAUGGACGGAGCGGCAGCCGCGACGCGACGACGUGUGUCGUAAUGUGACGGGAUGUGACCCGGAAAUGGCUGUGUAUUUAUCCCAGAAAUACAUUUAUUCCGAA